UUUUGUUUUUUUUUUGUUACUUUUUUAUAACACUCAGACAAUGAAAGAAUUUAGAAAAAGAAUAUAAAUUUUUUUUCGCAUUUCGUUUUUUUUCUUUUGGAAUUUUUGAAAGAAAAGCUUUUAAAGAGGAAAGAAAAUAUUUUUGGAUUUUUUGUUUAGAUUUUUUUUUAAAUUUUCGAAAGAAAGACUUCUAAAGAAGAAAGGAAAAAUUAUUUUUUCUGGAUUUUGAUUUAUUUAUUUUUGAGACAAAGACUUAUAAAAGGUAGAAAAUAUUUUUUGGAUUUUGAUUUGAUUUAUUUUCUUUUUUCGAAUAAAAGACUUCUACAAAGAAAAUAUUUUUGGAUUUUUGAAAAUUGGGGGCCGGAAUCAAUGAGGUUUGCCUACGUAUUUCACAUCCGGUGAGAAUUAGACCCGUAUAGUUCUGUUACAUACCAUGUUUUCGUACGUAGGAGUAGGUCGUAAGUCAAUUGAUGUAAGCUCAGAAAUGAAAUCAUAUUUGAAAGGUUUACAAAGUUAGUUAAUCAUGUUAAUGUGGAAGUUACAAAUAUUUAAGAUCAUGAGUACCAAGAGGGUUUGAAGGCUUAGAAGCUAAACAAAUUGAAGAAAAUAAGUUUCGUCGAAAGUCGACAAGUUGGAAUGUCAUAACAUGUAUUUUUUCGGUGAGACUAGGGUGCUUAACAUUAUAUGGAGAUUAUGUAAUGAGUUAUUUUAGUCGUAUGAUAGUCAUGUGUUUUGUUUUGAAGUCAAGCGAGUAGUGGAACAAAAGUUGGAAAAGGUCAUCACAAGUUCCAUUCAUAAAUGUGUUGAAACUUAGGUCAAAUGUAACUGCGAUUUUCUCCCAAUUUACUUAGAAUUAUCGGUGUUCCACCCAUCAAAUUGAAGAUCUAUAAGUCUAUUUUCUAACACAUUAAACCGUUUAUCAAUAAGACAUAGGAGUAUAUAUAUAUAUAUAUAUAUAUUUGCAAGAUUGCGUAGCCUGCUAGGUGACAAGUAGGUUUGUUACCUACAUGGUUAAAUGAGAGCCCAAAAAGAGGAAAUUUCGGGUAACCUCAUUAUAUAUCACAAAUAACCAGACCUAAACCCCUGCAAACUUCCUCCAAAAAAUUACCCACAAACCUUAAUUGAUUUUCUCUCCCUUUCAAGUUCUAAUUGGGGGUAAAACCUAGAGUUUGAAGAACCAAGAUAAGGGCUGAGUUAUCCAACAAAUAAGGUAAGUUUACCGCUUUCUUUCAUCCCUUUUCUCUGCUGUAAAUUCAUGGUGAGUCUUUCUAUACUUGUAAGAACUCAUGGAACGGUGAUCGGAAGCCAUGAGUUCGAGUUAUUCACUUGUACGGGACUGUUUUAUGGACUGUAUUGUGUUGUUGUUGGGCUGCAUGUUUUACUACUAUUUUGUGGAGUUUUGGAGGAGGAAGGUGUGGAGAAAUACCAUAUAACUGUAGGGUGGUGGGCUGGUCGUUCAUCAUAAUAUUUCCGGGUCGUUUAACACUACUACAGUGGUCAUUUUGUGUAUGAAGAGAUUGGGGUGUGUUGGGCUGUUUUGUAGUAUUUGAUGGUGUAUAUAAGGCUGGAAAAAAUGUAUAUAUGUUGUUAUUGUUAUGUUCUUGUGUUUUUGGUGUUAUCUUGAAUUUGGAGGAAGUAAAUACUAUAGGGGAGAUGUUGCCCGUUUUAAUAGAAAAAAAGUUUGUCGUUCAUUGUGCGAUAGUUGUACCUUUCGUAACAUAAUGAUAGUAUUAUUAUCAUUGUUGUAGAUUAAGGUGCGAAGAGGCGAGUUCAACUUGGUGAUUGGAAAGACUGUGAUAAGGUAUAUUAAGGCUAAACUUUUCUUUCAUUUGGCAUGAUCCAGUAACUACAUGUGUUUGACAACGAGACNNNNNNNNNNNNNNNNNNNNNNNNNCGCCUAUGAGCGAGCCUACUAUGGCAGAGAAGUUACUCAUACCGAGCCUUAUAAGGUCGGACAGUUAUUUUACUUACUAUAUUAAGAGAGUUGAGUCAGUAUCAUCCGGUAAGCAUAUCUUCAUAGUAUCUUUGACGCCCAAUUACUUUCAGUUAUUAUAUUAUCAGUUCAGCUUCAGCUUUUAGUUAUCUUGCUACCUUACAUACUCAAUACAUUAUUUCGUACUAACGUCCCUUUUGCUAGAGACGCUGCAUCUCAUGCCUGCAUGUCCUCAUCGAUAGCUGGACAGACCCUCCCAGCAGACAGAGUCAAACAUCAGUUUAGUUGAUAAGCUCCACUUCCCCAGAGUUGUCAGGUCUAGACCUUAGAGUCCAUUGUAUAUAUACAGGUUUGAUGGAUAGGUCGAGGCCCUGUCCCGAUCAUGGUACAGUUCAGCUAUCUCUAGAGGCUUAUAGACAAUCCUGUAUAGUUUGUAUAUCAGUAGAUAUUCAUGGAGGCCUCGUCGGCCUCCACAGUUUAUAUAUAUAUAUUGUGUGUGUGAGAGAGAGAGAGAGCUUUUGGGUAUGUUUACCCCACAGAUGAGAGAGAUGUUAUUUUCAGACGAUACAGAAUAUGGCCUCAUCGACCUAAGUUGAGGGUUACCCCUCCAGAGUCCACAGUUACAGAGUAGUACGCUCGGGUCGAGUACGGCACCAGGUGCCGGCCACGCCUUCCUAGGUUCGGGACGUGACAAAUUCGGUCAGUUUUGACGCAAUAGGAAACUAUGACCUAUUUUGAAAUGACUUUUCCUUUAUCUACUUUUCUUUUUUUUCAUACCUACCUCUCACUCUUUUUUUUAAUUCUCUUUUUUUCUUCUUUUUUUAUUUCCUUUCCCUAUUUUAGAAGCCAGUCAACAUGCAUGCCGAAACAAACAAAUGCACAAGUAGCACGUAAGAUGCAUCAGGAUGGUCUUUUAAUUUGAGUACACCUACGGACACAAUCCCUGUUUUGAGUACCCAAAGUCAAAUGCAUGUGAUGCAAACAAACGUACCUACUAGAGAUCCGGCAUGAGGUUAUGUCAUUCUAGGUAUGAAUCCUGGGUGUAUUUUUCUAGACCUAGCUUACCCGAGCGGACAACUUGUGCCGAGGGGGGCGCAACGUACUAGGAACUAAAAGGCCAUCCGGCUUUGUAACUGAUCUGAUCCUCGUUCUAAAUUAGAGUAUGACACUAACAGAAAAGAAGUCACGCCAGCGUGCACUUCCCAGAAGAUUUAGUAGACUCAGAGAGAAGAAGGGUUUCGUAACAGUUUUAUAUACAGUUCAAAGAAUAUCAAAGCAGUAAAAAGAGUGGCAAUUAGCACAUUAUCAAACACGUAAAAAAUUAGAUAAUAAAUAAAUUCAAGUAUAACAUUAUUCUAAGCUCGAAUUCUGAACCCUAAACCAGAUAUUCUGGGUUCGUAUAACUAGCAGAGUCGCCAGAGCUAUCACACUUCCUUUUUCCCGAGGGAUAGGGAGUUUUUCUAAUUAAAGUGGCAUUAUUUAAAAUGGAUUUAUUUAUUAGAUUCAGAGUCGUCACUUGGAAUAAUUAUUAUGGUGUCCCAAGUCACCAGUUUAUUUUAUAUCCCAAAUCGAGGAAAGUUUUACUUUGUUCUAAAGUCUGCGAAUCCAAAAGAUCGGGUAAGGAGUUCUGUUAUCCCGGAAGAAGGUGUGAGUAACUCCCAAAUUCUUUGGUUUAGCAUGGUCGCUCAACUAUUAAUAAUUGACCUAAUUAUCUUAUUUGUUACAUGUUUAAAACCUAUUGUGCAAUUUUUACUUUUUGACCGCUUUUGAUAGAAUUUUAAUUGCUUUUAGGAUUUAUGGAAUUUAUUAGAACAAGUCACGAUGUCACGCACUCAUUUAAUUUUGUACGGAUUGCAAAUCGCGACAUGUGAAAUGCACCCGCAAUUUAUAGUAUGUUAAUUUGUAUUAUUAUUUGAAGUUAUGGUCGAGUCACGUGAAACGCACACUCAAAUUUGGGGGUUUACGUAUCAUGACUAUGCCAUGAGAACCGUACCCAUAAUCAUGAAGAUUUAUUUAAUCAUGAUUAAAGCAAGCUACAAUGUCCUUUUGAUUCAUUUUUCUAAGUUUGGGGAUUUUGUGAAGCUACGAAUUAGAGUGAAUUCUGUAUCAAAUGUAUAUGUAUUUCUAAGCUAAGGAAACAUGAAACUUAAUGAGGGAUAUCAAAAAUUGAUUGAAACUGGUUAUUGAAAUAUGCGAAGAGGAUAAGAUAUCUUAAAUAAAUAUAAAACUUUGAAUGGCCACCAAAGGUCUAAGUGUAAGACUAUUGACUAUGUUCUUUGUUAUUUGCACCAUGUUGAUUAAUAAUAGGAUAAAGAUCUAUCAAUUAAUUUGCUCAAAAGUUUGCAUCAUAAUUUUACCAAAUCCAACAAACAAACAUGGGCUUCUAGUGAAGCCAAGCCCAAAACGUGGUGGCCAAACAUCUCGAUGAGCUGACUGAAAUAGAUCGCAUCAGUCAGGUAUGAACUACUCUUCACAAUUAUUUUAGGUCACUACUUAUAUUUAUAUCAUAGUUUUAACGCUAUAUCAGCACAUUCCAGACAUACUCAGUUCCUCACAAAUCCUUGCAAUCAGAAUCUAAGUAAACAAACAAAACACAAAACAAGCUAACCAAAUUUCAUUAUAAAUUCAAGUAAAUGUUGAUAGGUGAAUGUACAUACUUAAAAGCGGAGGAAUUGCAGAAAAUGAUCAAGUAAAGUAUGGAAUUAAAAGAAAAAUGAAGCUCCAAAGCAACAUAACAACAACGAGAAGCAGUAUAAUCAACACAAAACUUCAAUUUCCAUAUCUACAGCUUCGAAAAUAGAGCUUAAAAUAAGCUAAAAUGCAGAACAUUAGAGGAACAACACCUAGCAAUCUAGAAAGCAGCACAGUCCAGCAGAAAAUAGUAGCAAUUUCCUUUAAAAGCCUAGAUUUUGAAAGCUCUUUUCCUUUUUAGAUCUAUUUUUGUAAAAUUCAAAAAAUAAUCGAUUCUCAAUUGUUUUGUAUGUGUGCUCAUGAAGUGUAUGAGCAGAAUGUAUAGAUGAGAAUGGGGAAGUAGGAGUGUAAGAGAUGGGGGUGGUGGCUAUUUGAAGAAGGGAAAGAGCUGCUAGGGUUUUUGUUAUUUUUUUGGGAGAGAUUUGUGUGUCUGUUCUUCUGAAGAUGAGAAUUAGGUAUUAAUUUAAUGGGUAAGGAGAUGGGAAUUGGGCGGCUAGGUG
rnacentral:lncRNA from 1 species